rnacentral:rRNA from 1 species
GAUGAACGCUGGCUGCGUGCCUAAUACAUGCAAGUCGCGCGAACAGACGAGGAGCUUGCUCCUCUGACGUUAGCGGCGGACGUGUUAGUAACACGUGGCUAACCUACCUAUAUGACUUGGAUAACUUCGGGAAUCCGGCUCUCAUAUCUUUUUAUAUAUUGAACCGCAUAUUUCAAUAGUGCAAGACUUUUUUGCUGUCACUUAUAGAUUAAUCCGCGCCGCAUUAGGUACUUGGUAAGAUAACAGCUUACCAAGGCAACGAUGCGUAGCCGACCUGAUAGGGUGAUAGGACACACUGGACCUGAGACAAGGUCCAGACUCCUACGGGAGGCAACAGGAGGAAAUCUUCCGAAAUUGGCGAAAGCUUGAAGGAGCAACGCCGCGUGAGUGAUGAAGGUAUUCGGAGCGUAAAAAUCUGUUAUUAGGGAAGAACAAAUGUGUAAGUAACUAUGCACGUCUUGACGGUACCUAAUCAGAAAGCCACGGCUAACCAAGUG